CGACAACGACAGUUGGCAUGGAGCAGUUCGACCUGCUGGUUCAGCAGGUCAGGGGCCUCACCGAAGUGGUGCAGACCAUGCAGCAGCAGCAGCCGCAGGCAUCUGUGCGGCUGGAAAGAGCAUCACCGGAGUUUCAGAAUCUGGCGAUCGGGUAGCCCACUUGGGCCAGUCGCUCUGUAUCCUCCAGAAAGGGGAAGCAGAGUGUGGAGAGCCCUCUAUCUGAUCACGAUUUCACCCCCGAAGAGUCCCUACCUCCGUUCUGCCAGAAGAUCCUCGAGAUUCG
rnacentral:lncRNA from 1 species